rnacentral:rRNA from 1 species
GAUGAACGCUGGCGGCGUGCCUAAUACAUGCAAGUCGAGCGAACAGACGAGGAGCUUGCUCCUCUGACGUUAGCGGCGGACGGGUGAGUAACACGUGGAUAACCUACCUAUAAGACUGGGAUAACUUCGGGAAACCGGAGCUAAUACCGGAUAAUAUAUUGAACCGCAUGGUUCAAUAGUGAAAGACGGUUUUGCUGUCACUUAUAGAUGGAUCCGCGCCGCAUUAGCUAGUUGGUAAGGUAACGGCUUACCAAGGCGUCGAUGCGUAGCCGACCUGAGAGGGUGAUCGGCCACACUGGAACUGAGACACGGUCCAGACUCCUACGGGAGGCAGCAGUAGGGAAUCUUCCGCAAUGGGCGAAAGCCUGACGGAGCAACGCCGCGUGAGUGAUGAAGGUCUUCGGAUCGUAAAACUCUGUUAUUAGGGAAGAACAAAUGUGUAAGUAACUAUGCACGUCUUGACGGUACCUAAUCAGAAAGCCACGGCUAACUACGUG